AGGGUUAGCGUUGAACCGGGAUGUGGACAUGAAGCUAGUGUUAGGGUUGAACUGGGAUGUGGACAUGAAGCUAGUGGUACGGUUGAACUAGGAUGUGGAUAUGAAGCUAGGGUUAGCAUUGAACCGGGAUGUGGAAAUGCAGCUAGGGUUAGGGUGGAACCAGGAUGUGGACAUGAAGCUAGGGUUAGGGUUGAACUGGGAUGUGGACAUGAAGCUAGGGUUAGGGUUGAACCAGGAUGUGGACAUGAAGCUAGGGGUAGGGUUGAACCAGGAUGUGUACAUGAAGCUAGGGUUAGGGUUGAACCAGGAUGUGUACAUGAAGCUAGGGUUAGGUUUGAACCAGGAUGUGGACAUGAAGCUAGGGUUAGGGUUGAACCAGGAUGUGGACAUGAAGCUAGGGGUAGGGAUGAACCAGGAUGUGGACAUGAAGCUAGGGUUAGGGUUGAACCAGGAUGUGGACAUGAAGCUAGGGGUAGGGAUGAACCAGGAUGUGGACAUGAAGCUAGGGUUAGGGUUGAACCAGGAUGUGGACAUGAAGCUAGGGUUAGGGUUGGAGUUGAACCAAGAUGUAGACAUGAAGCUAGGGUUAGGGUUGAACCAUGAUGUGGGCAUGAAG
ensembl:lncRNA